AGAGACAUAGGAGAGCAAUCUGCAAAUUCCCACAGCCUAAGUGGGGAAGGGGGACUGUCAGCCGACUCAAGGCUGUUGACUAGGUGUCCCAGGCCACCCCCAUCCCCUGCCUACCUCGCCCUGGCCCAGCCCCAUGCCUGUCUUUCAGAAUCAAGCACUUAGCCAUCACAGCCAGCUGCAGCUGGUGAACCCCACGGGCGCGGACACGGGAAUACAGCUGCCAGGCUUGGCACUGCCGGGAUGCCACAUGUACGGAAGGCGAAGACCGCCAAGGAAAGACCUUCAUCUUCUUCCCAGACCCAGAGGAGCUCUUUGUCCCCACUGAGGAUUAUUAUGAGGUGGUGCAGUUGCACAGCCAUCAAUCGGUCCUGCUUCCCUGCCAGACCUGUCGUCCUUCCCCAAACCCACCAUCCAAGCUUCGGCAACAUCGGUCCAACUGGGAGAGAACUUCAGUGUGACCUGUAUGGCUCUGGGUGAGCUGGACAUCGCUGUGGACUUUAUCUGGGAGUAUCCAGGGCAGAAGGUAAGCAGAGGGUAAGAGGAGGCUGUGCACGUGUGUGUGUGUGCGCGCGCACACACGCUGAUGGUGUGUUGGGCAGGAGCCUGGGGGUGAGGAAUUAGGAUGAGGGCUAGGAGAGAUCAUGGCAGAGCGGAACCACUGCUUGACUGGGAAUCUGAGGAACCUGACACUGCUUCUCUGCAUGACCUUGGG